rnacentral:sRNA from 1 species
GCUGGGCACAGCGGUGCAUGCCUGUAAUCCCAGCUGCUCUGGAGGCUGAGGCAGGAGGAUCUCAAGUUCAAAGCCAGCCUCAGCAAAAGUGAGGUGCUAAGCAACUCAGUCAGACCCUGUCUCUA